CGCCCCCUGCUGUGUUCGUGAUUGGAUAGAAGCGCUUUGUACCAACGUUUAACAAUCAGGGGUCUUCCUUAGUUUCGGUGUGCAUGUUCUGCCUGUGCAGAAAAGCCUGAUGAAACUACAAGACCCUAUAAUAAAUACAGGUUUCAAAGACCUGCCGACACGGCAUGGCGGGGGACUC
rnacentral:other from 2 species